AACUUCUUUGAAAUCAACUGAAAGAUAAUUGGUCAUUUUUCAAGAUACAUUUCGAGAAUGAGUAUUGCUAAAAGGUUUAAUAUUUUAAAAAAAAAAUUAGAAAUCUUUUUCCAUUUUAAGAAUGCCAAAAAACGAAAUUCUAUUAAUAAUGAAGGAAAACGAAAUUCUAUUAAUAAUGAAGAAAAACAUUCUUUUGGAAAACAGUUACAUUUAAAUGAUUUUUAUUCACAUUUUCGAGAUGAUGAUAAGUUCGAAAAUUAUUUUGAAGAGGUGAAAUCUAACUCUCCACUUUGUAUUAAAGAAUUUGAAGUUAUAUCACCAAUAAACUUACAAUUUACCGACCGUCAACAAUUUAAUAUAACAAUUUUAUCAGAUAAAACUUACGGCAGUGGUUACUAUUAUACAUCAGGGUUGAUAAUAACUGCAAAACACAUUUUUGAUAAAGACAAUAUAGACAAUAUAAUUGUUAUUUUUUCAUGUAAAGAUUUUUAUUUGAUGUAUUCAGCAGAAUGUCUAAUGACUUCACAAAAUGAUGAUUUAGCUAUUAUUAAAUUAAAAGGCAGCCUUGCUCCUCUGCAAGAUAUAAAAUUAACAAAAAAAAUUUGUGGAAAUGAUAUUAAAGACUUAUAUUUUUACACCCGAGAGUCAGGAAACUUAGUAAUGAAAGAAUGUGAAAUUAUUAAGAACCCCCAUCCAUCUUUGAAGAAGAAAAUGCGAGAAAAUGAAUGGUUAAUUUCUGAAGUAGGUGCUUUUGGAGACAGUGGAGGCCCGGUUUAUACAACAGAUAAUGAAUAUUUUGGGAUAUACCUUGGUGAGGAACGUUUCAAAAAACACUGUUAUUCUAAAGAAUUAAAAUAUGGACGGAUUUUUAAAAUUGAUGAAUCAAUUAUUAAAAAUGUUAUUUGAUUUAAAAUGUAAUUGUUUCCAAAACGUAAUUAAAAUGUGUUACUCAAGGCAUUGCUUAACGAUUUUAUUUUAUCUCCAUUUGUUCUUUUUUUAUUGCGACUUGAACAGAGGUAGGUUUUGUCAAAAAACAACAUUUCAGACAAAAAGCUGAGAAAAAGGCAUGUUUAUGUCUGAUAUUUUGAGCUUCUCAUACUCCACUUCUUCAUGUUUGAGACAAUCGCAGUCUGUUUCUUUGAUCAAAGAGUUGCGUACUCUUUCAAAACAUGCGGAGGGGUCUUCCUUACCGUAUAACACCUAAAACACGGAAACCCGGAAAAUUCCGUGUUUGGCGGGGAAAGAGUUCAAAUGUAUCUUUAUUAAUAACAAACGUGUUUAUAUAAACAAAUAAAUUUAUAAAAUUAUAAUUAUAGCAAAUAUUAUCGGCAAAUUUUAGAUCCUUGAUGUGAGACAACCCCCAGCCCCCACCCCCACCCCCCCUUUCAGAACAUCUUGAGGGGGUUGUGCCGCCCAUCCCUAAAUCUGCCACUGUGAACAUUUUGCAAUUCUCAUUCCGAAUGUAUACUUGUGAAUGUACCAAUUGUCCAGCAGCUUCCGGAGAGAGAUGUUUUGUCUUCCCCAAAACAACAACAUGUGUCCUACACUGGUCUGCAGCUGGUGUCUUGAAGAAAGAUGUUGCCUCUGUGAUUUUGAAAGCUUUUGGGAAUGCAAAAAAACCCCAUCUGUUUCAAGGAACAUGAAACCACUCUCAACAACAUCCAGACCAACUGAACCAGCAAAAACCACCAUCAGACUGAAUAAAUGAUUGUGGGUCGCAAUUACACAAGCUCUCUCUGGGUGGCUCAGCGGUACCACGCUGAGCUACCACCCCUGGCAUCACGAGUUUGGAUCCCAGGGCAUGCUGAGUGACUCCAGCAAAGUCUCCUAAGCAAUCAAAUUGGCCCGUCUUGCGAGGGAGGGUAGAGUCACAAGGGAAAACCUCCUCAUGGUUCGCUCUAAGUGGGGCGCGUGGAUGCCGCGUGAAGCCUCUCCGCUGUAACGCGCUCAACAAGCCACAUGAUAAGAUGCGCGGGUUGAUGGUCUCAGACAUGGGGGCAUCUGAGAUUCGUCCUCCACCACCCGGAUUGUGGCACUACGCGACCACGAGGACUUAAAAGAAGCAUUUAGAUUAGAACAUUCCAAAUUGGGUGAAAAA